rnacentral:rRNA from 1 species
UGCCCCUGACUCUGGGAUAAGCCUGGGAAACCGGGUCUAAUACUGGAUACGACUCCUCACCGCAUGGUGGGGGGUGGAAAGGGUUCACUGGUUUUGGAUGGGCUCACGGCCUAUCAGCUUGUUGGUGGGGUAAUGGCUCACCAAGGCGACGACGGGUAGCCGGCCUGAGAGGGUGACCGGCCACACUGGGACUGAGACACGGCCCAGACUCCUACGGGAGGCAGCAGUGGGGAAUAUUGCACAAUGGGCGAAAGCCUGAUGCAGCGACGCCGCGUGAGGGAUGACGGCCUUCGGGUUGUAAACCUCUUUCAGUAGGGAAGAAGCGCAAGUGACGGUACCUGCAGAAGAAGCGCCGGCUAACUACGUGCCAGCAGCCGCGGUAAUACGUAGGGCGCAAGCGUUGUCCGGAAUUAUUGGGCGUAAAGAGCUCGUAGGCGGUUUGUCGCGUCCGCUGUGAAAGCCCGGGGCUCAACCCCGGGUCGGCAGUGGGUACGGGCAGACUAGAGUGCAGUAGGGGAGACUGGAAUUCCUGGUGUAGCGGUGAAAUGCGCAGAUAUCAGGAGGAACACCGAUGGCGAAGGCAGGUCUCUGGGCUGUUACUGACGCUGAGGAGCGAAAGCAUGGGGAGCGAACAGGAUUAGAUACCCUGGUAGUCCAUGCCGUAAACGUUGGGCACUAGGUGUGGGGGACAUUCCACGUUCUCCGCGCCGUAGCUAACGCAUUAAGUGCCCCGCCUGGGGAGUACGGCCGCAAGGCUAAAACUCAAAGGAAUUGACGGGGGCCCGCACAAGCGGCGGAGCAUGCGGAUUAAUUCGAUGCAACGCGAAGAACCUUACCAAGGCUUGACAUCCACCGGACCGCCCCAGAGAUGGGGUUUCCCUUCGGGGCUGGUGGACAGGUGGUGCAUGGUUGUCGUCAGCUCGUGUCGUGAGAUGUUGGGUUAAGUCCCGCAACGAGCGCAACCCUCGUUCUAUGUUGCCAGCACGUGAUGGUGGGGACUCAUAGGAGACUGCCGGGGUCAACUCGGAGGAAGGUGGGGAUGACGUCAAAUCAUCAUGCCCCUUAUGUCUUGGGCUUCACGCAUGCUACAAUGGCCGGUACAAAGGGUUGCGAUACUGUGAGGUGGAGCUAAUCCCAAAAAGCCGGUCUCAGUUCGGAUUGAGGUCUGCAACUCGACCUCAUGAAGUCGGAGUCGCUAGUAAUCGCAGAUCAGCAACGCUGCGGUGAAUACGUUCCCGGGC